rnacentral:tRNA from 1 species
GCGCUAAUAGCUCAGUGGUAGAGCGGCCGACUGCAAAGUUCCUAGUAGCAAUGCCAGGACUUAGCGUGAUCGUCAGGUCGCCGGUUCGAUCCCGGCUUGGCGCU